rnacentral:lncRNA from 1 species
AGACUUGUACUCACAUUUUUUAGGCCUCUAAGAAAUAUGUCUCCAAAGAACUUGCCAAAGAGAUUCGUGUCAAAGCAGAACCAUUUAUAAAAUGGUUGAAGGAGGCAGAGGAAGAAUCUUCUGGUGGCGAAGAAGAAGAUGAAGAUGAGAACAUUGAGGUGGUGUAUUCGAAGGCUGCCAGUGUACCGAAAGUUGAGACUGUAAAGUCAGACAACAAGGAUGACGACAUCGAUAUUGAUGCCAUUUAAAGGGAUGGAUGCAACCUAGCUUAACAGUAUAAUGCUGCAAAUUUUCCUCCAUUAUCAGCCAGAAGUGCAACAUGUAUGUGCAAAAGCUAAAAUGGCUUAACAUCAUGCUACACUUUACACUAAAAAUCUAUUACUGUGAGUGGUCUGUUAUUAAGCCCAAUGAGACAUCUAGGGAGUCCAUACACAUCAGUGAGCAGAUGUAGUUUGCUUAUUUAUAGCAUGUUUCUUUUUGAAAAACUAGUGGUGGACACAUUUGGAUCACAUUUAUACAGUUAUAAAAAUAAAGGUUUGAUUUUGGUCGUUC